rnacentral:rRNA from 1 species
CGGAGGGUGCAAGCGUUAUCCGGAUUUACUGGGUUUAAAGGGUGCGUAGGUGGGUCUGUAAGUCAGUGGUGAAAUCUUCGAGCUUAACUCGGAAACUGCCAUUGAUACUAUAGGUCUUGAAUCAUCUGGAGGUGAGCGGAAUAUGUCAUGUAGCGGUGAAAUGCUUAGAUAUGACAUAGAACACCGAUUGCGAAGGCAGCUCACUACGGAUGUAUUGACACUGAGGCACGAAGCGUGGGAUCAAACAGGAUU